AGGUGAACCUGCGGAAGGAUCAUUG
rnacentral:ncRNA from 223 species